rnacentral:lncRNA from 1 species
UCUUAGUUAAAUUUGUCGUUGGUAUAAUGUGAAAUGAAGCUAUUAUGAUAUAGAUCUUUGGACUGAAGAAAAUCAGGCAGAAUCCAGUUGGUAAAUGGAAAGAAGUAAAGAUUAGUUCUAAUAUUAAUGAGAUGUUCUUUGAUUUUAAUUAUUUAUUUAGUUCUUUUCCCCUGAAAAGGCUUAACUAGACAUGGCCUGUAUAGGAACAUUGAGAAAUAAAAUGCAAGUUUCCAAGGUCUUCAAGAUUAUCCAAGAGCACAGAGAAAGAAAUGGGAAAAGAAUACUGCGCCCAUGUUCACCUCCAGAGGGAAAUGCAUGAGACAAAACUGCUGUAAUUGGAUUUUUUCCAGAACAUGUCAAGAGUACUUGCUUUUGCAAAAAUAUUCGUGGGCCAUUAAUCAUCAGCCAAGAACUGCAUCUCCCUGAAAACCACAAGAGCUUCCUUUGACCACAGCCCAGAUGAAUUCCAAACGGCAUGAACAUUUCAUUUUUAAUUUGCCACAUGCUUAUUAUUGACCCAGCUCUGCACAUACCCAAAAAUAAAUCCCAUUUACCCACACAGUGGAUACCUUCGCCCUAGAAGCUUUUCUUUUGGCAUCGAUGGCACAACCAUUCAAAUGGUCCCAACAGAUCCCCUGGGACACACAAUAUCAGAAGUGGACCAAGCCCUUCCAGAAUGUUCCAGCACCGAGAGCCCAAGUGCCCAGAGCCAGGGCAGAAUAUCAAGGACACUCCACUUCUGCCUCCAAAGGCCCCAAGGCUGCAGCUGCCGGCCUGCACCACAGCCAUAGCAACGCCAGAUCUGAACUGCAUAUGUGACCUACUCCACAGCUCCUGGCAACACCAGAUCCUUAACCUUACUGGUGAGGCCAGGGAUCAAACCUGCAUCCUCAUGGGUACUAGUCAGGUUUGUUUCCACUGAGCCACGAUGGAAACUCCCAUAUUUUAUGUAUUCUUAAAAGCCACAUAUUUUAAGAUUGUUUCUCCAAUUUUUUUGUCUGAAAUGGUGUCUAUACUCUUAAGACUGGCUAUAAAUUACAUGGAACAUGAAUGUGUAUACUUUGGAGAGACCUAUUGUAUUUUAUAGAAAGAGCAUAGUUUUUGUAUUGUUACCUUGGACUUCUGGAAGUUUCCAUGGCUCAUCUUAUAAUCAUAAAUAUUUUACAAUCAUCUUAAUUCAUAAUUUAUCUUAAUAGUUUAACAAACCCCUUAUCAUCUGAAUCUUAUACCUGUGCAGGCAGCAGCAUGUAGGACCAAAAAUCAAAGUUGUGCCUUGAAGCUUUUUUUUCCUGGUUUGUUCCAAAGGCCGUCUCUGUGUGUCAUAUCUCCCCACAGAUCAUCAUGAAGCUCUUCCAAGAAUGUCCCUUCAGUUCUCCAAACCAGAUUCCCCUAUAGGUCCAUCAGGGAGGCAGUGAUGAGAGAAAGUGUCAGGAGUACUCAUUUAUGCUUAAAUAUUAUCUCACAGGAGCCCGUGAACAAAACAUCACAGGGCUUCUGGUUGUUUCAAAUGUAUUGCAAGCAGCUGAAGUUUAUAGUGCUUUGCUUCAGGUCUCUUGAUAAAGGAGAGCUAGGUAUGAGGGUCAGCCUUGCUGCUCUGAUUUAUAAGGAGGCAGCGAGUCCCAUAGGAUCAGAAAACACCAGCCCUGCUGUCUGAAAACACGAUGCCACACCAUUCCCCCAGAUGAGGUUGUGGAUUCAUGGAAGAUGCUGAGAUGUCUCCAUUCAGCUUUGCUACAGGUGAUGCAGAAGGUCAUUACUUCUCUCUAACCCAGACAGACAGAAGUAAUGACCUUCUCCCUUCUGGUGAGUAGCCUCACUGCUUUGUGUCAGACCAGACUUCAGUGUUGGGUGUUUCACGACCAGGGUCUCUUCUGUGUGAGGAUGACAAACAGCACUCAUUUCACUUCCCAAGUCAGCGCCGACCAGCCCCACCCCCACCCCAUCAAGGCAGGCAUCGCACUUUCGUGCCCAGUCUCACUGAAAUGAGCCUUGAAAUCCUCAGCUGCAGAGCUAAUAUGGGCCAAGAUAUUGAUUCCCUGGGUUUAGGCUGUGAGUGGCUUUUUAUGAAAAGCAUCGACUCAGCUGCGCAGCUCAGCUGAGCUACUUUACAUGCUCAGAAUGUGUUGCUUUGGCUGCUGAGUAGUGAAAAUCAAAGAGGAUCCUUUAGUCGCUGAAAGUCUAUUCAGAUUCCUGUGGAAGUUUUAGUUGUGUGUUGCAGAGCUGGGAAAAGAAAAAGGAAAAUGAUUGCUUUCCUCCGUCUGGGCUCUGCCCCAUGUGCUUCCCCCCACACAGAAGCAUGAGAUAUCUUGGGAAAAGGUUUUGCCAUAUGCGACUUUUAUUAUAAGCUUUCCGAGAGAGUGUUUAUCAAGCUUACCGGAGUCACUGACCACCUGGUGAUCACUAUUCUCUUACGAAGGUUGCCAGCUCAGCUGUGAAGAUGAGCCGCUGUGACUCUCUUUGGUUGUGUCUAUUUGAUCAAAAAUUUGAUCAAGAAUUACUGAUUAGUCAGGGUGCAGAGAUCUUGAUAAACUCGAUCUCGCAGUGUAAAUAAACAAACCAAAAAGACCAAACCGUGCACUUUUGGAAUGCAGGUGGUAAAUAUCUGAGGGUCAGGGAGGCCUGAGGUUAAGCGGAAUCAGUAAUAGUGGGGCGUAUCCCAGAGGGCUCAAUAAGCAUCUAUCUCUAUCACUGAGAUCAUGUACCAACCAGUAAGCACUAAUCUUGAGACCACUGGCACUCUGUGAGAAGCCAGGGACGGAGCUGUGAGAAUCUGUAUUGCAUUUCAAAACAUCUUCAGCUCUUACAAAUAAAUAAGCUCUUGAGCCUGAGAAAGUCUUUUCAUCCCUCCAAAACCAAAUCAAACAAAACACCCUAUGAUCGAAGGUAAAAAAGAAGAGGGCUAGACUCAUUUUUUAAACUCAAAUCACAUUAUUUACAAAUCAUAAGUACACUUAUAAGAUGGGAUGAAAUAUAAGUUUGUCUUUUAACUUCCCUCUUUUAAGACUUCAGUAUUAUAACUUUCUAUUGCCUUCAUUUUAUUCAGAUGUCCACAGUUUGUCUGUCUGUCUGGUUUGAUCAUACACAGGGGUGUGGGGAAGAGGUCACCCACAUGAGUACAAUGUCUUUCUCUUAAAAGAUCUUUCCUCUCUCUCUCUCUCUUUUUUUUUUUUUUGUCUUUUUGGGGCCGCACCCAGGGCAUAUGGAGGUUCCCAGGCUAGGGGUCGAAUCGGAGCUGCAGUCACCGGCCUACACCACAGCCACAGCAACUUGGGAUCUGAGCUGCAUCUGUGACCUGCACCACAGCUUAUGGCAACAUCAGAUCCUUAACCCACUGAGCGAGGCCAGGGAUCAAACCUGAAUCCUCGUGGAUCCUAGUCGGGUUCCUUAACCACUGAGCCAUGAAGGGAACUCCUAAAAUAUCUCUUUUGUAAUGUAUUCAUUCAUUUUAAAAGCUCCACACAAUCAUAUGGAGACUUUCUGAACUGACUGCAAAACCAGACAAGACGCAGAGCAGAGAGCUCCAGCACUGCAGCAGGCAGGCAAAGUCUGCAUUUCUUAACCCCUCAGAGCAUUAAAUUUGGAACAUUACACUUUUCUUAACGCAUCCCCCAGGAGGGUUCCUCUGGCGAACAUCACUGGAUGCAUGUGUGGUAGCUGAGCGUGGCAUUCUGAUAGUGACAAUCGCAGGACUUGGGCACUUUUCAGCCCUUUCCCUGAUGGUUAUCGUGGUCAGCUGAGGCUUUACUCCUCAAGACUGAAUCCGAACUACCAUUUUAAGGCAUCCUCAAAAGCCCUGGCAAAUUUUUCAGAUCAGAUGUCUGCUCAUUUCAAAAAGCCAUAGUCCUAAACCCUUGCUGAUGCCACCAGGCAGAGAGACAAUAAAGAUCUGAGGGCCAUGUUCACUCCUUUCUGACUUGGACGUCCUCUUUUCAGAGCAGCUUUAACCUGAUUCUUAGAAAAAAAGACCACCCCAGGAUAAGGCACAGCAAAAAAUGCAUCACUCUCUCCCAGGCCAGUACUGUAUUUCUCUUCUGUCAUCACUUUAUAGCUGCACCUGCAGCUUAUGGAAGUUCCUGGGACUGGGAUUGCAUCUGAGUUACAGCUAAAUGCAGGAUCCUUUAACCCGCCAUGCAAAGCUAGGGAUCAAACCCACCUCUCCACGUUGACCUGAGCCGUUGCAGUCAGAUUCUUAACCAACUCUGCCACAGCGGGAACGCUGACCUCACUUUUAAUGUGCAAGGAACUUUAGUUUCUUUAUUCUCAUGGUGCAUUUUUUGCAUAUGGUUUGUUAUUGUUGAUAAGAUGAUUUCAUCUCGUUCCAAGUUCAACUGUAGACUUUGAAUCCGAGACCUCUAUGAUAAUGAAUUCCCCAAGUUCCACAAUGGAUUCUUUGCUCUUGAGUAACAAGUAGUAUGGAGGAGGCAACCGGAUCUGUCUUAUUACAAACCAAUCCAAACCAGAGACUCACCAGCCUGGACUGGUACAAAGGACCAAACUGCUAGGUGACUUUCUAAGUCCAUGCCUGGUAAUGGCUUAUUUGCUAAAUAGGGAAAGCCAUAGAUAAUAAAUCAUUAAAUUAAAUCCCUUCAUUUCAGAUACUCUACUGGAUGUAAUUCCCUCUCCUCUAUGUUCCCCCAUUAUGACUGGGGAUGUGGAGGUCAAGGUUCCACUGGUACAGAAGGACUUUCAUAAACAGCUUGGAGUUUGCACAGAUCCUUGGGUUUUUCCCCUUGAUUACUUCCCAGAGGGAAAUAGACAAGCUCUUCUCCCAUAUGCAGCACAUUAUAAUCAUAAUCUUGGUUCUCCAUUUGUUUCUAAAGGGCACUGCUCUCUAUUUUCCUUCUCAAAUAAUCCGCAGGAUACAAAAUACCAUUAGAAUAGCUUUCUUGGAAUUCGGCAGGAUGCCUUUGAGUUCCACCUAAGAAAAAGUGCCUAACGGAGCUUAAAGAACUAAUGAAGCUGGUUCCCAAUAUCUGAAUCCUUCAGAGUGACUUCCUUCCUUGCCUAUAGUGUGUGUGUGUGUGUGUGUGUGUGUGCACACGCGCGCGCAUGUGUGUGUGUAGUCAAGCCACAAAGCAAAAGUCAUUACUGCAAUUACAACGCUUUUAUCAGAAUGCUGACAUCGAAGAAACCUAACAGCACAUUGUUAUAGAGAGUAUUUAGAGUGGCAGGAACAUAGAGUUUGAAAGACACCACAAUCCAUGCAAAUCAGAAGAAACCUUAAGCCGGGGUUGGGGGUGGGGGAGGUGGGUAAACCUGCCUGCAGAGCAUCUCAGCUCACGUGUGUAGCUCAAAAUGAUCAGACCUGUGCAGAUUUGCUUCCUGUGAUUAGCCUAAUCUGGUAAAUUCCACUAGAAAGUAUUGUUUUAAAUAUUUUAGAGAAUGGCUUGAAUUAUGCCCAAGGGGUCAGAGAGCCCUCUUGGGUUCAAGUUGGUGCACAUUCAUUGCUCUGUCUUCUGUUUACUUCUCUCUCUUCUCUUCUGGUGCUGAGGAUGGAGUUAGAAAAAGGAUGUUUGUACAGGUAUAUGCCCUUAGCAUUAUGAUAUAUACAAUUUUUAUAAUUUUUGCAGUAAUAUAAUAUACUGCAGUAAGUAAAUUAGAGCAAUUAAAUUACAAGCACUUACUUCAAAGAGUGUAUAUAUAUCAAAAUGAUUCCAUACAUUAUAACAAUUGUACUAGUUAUUAAUACUUUUUAAUUUCUCCCCAAACACUAGGGUUAAUAAAUAUAUAUUUUUUAAGUUUGAAAGCAAAAUAAAAGAAAAUUUAUUUUUCAGCCCAUCAGGACGAUCAGCUUAUAGUUAUAUAUCUUGCCUUUAUUUGAAGACUGAAUUAUCACUCCCCAAAGAGGUAAUGGCUAGUAGGCUAUCAAAAAGCUGGAUUUUUAAAAAAGGUGAUGGUAGCUUCAAAAUGACCUACCUCAUACUUCAAAACAGUAUUUUCUUAAUACUAAAGCAAUGAUAAUAUUUAGAGGGGAUGUAGUUAAAAGCAUGGGAGAUGGAUCCCAAUUGCUUAGGAUCAAAUCCUCAUUCUUGGCACUCAUUUUUAUGGUACGUAACUUCUCUGUGCCUCAGGAGUUCCUGUUGUGGCUCAGCAGUAACAAAUCAAACUAAUAUCCAUGAGGAUGUGGGUUCAAUCCCUGGCCUCACUCAGUGAGUUAAAGCAUCCAGUGUUGCUAUGAGCUAUGGUGUAGCCUGCAGAUGCAGCUUGGAUCCCUCGUGGCUGUGGCUGUGGCUGUGGCCAGCAGCUGUAGCUCUGAUUCUACCCCUGUCCUGGGAACCUCCAUAUGCCAU